AUUGAACGCUGGCGGCAGGCUUAACACAUGCAAGUCGAGCGAGCGGCGGACGGGUGAGUAAUGUCUGGGAACCUGCCUGAUGCAGGGGGAUAACUACUGGCAACGGUUGCUAAUACCGCAUACCAUCAGACGGGCCCCUAUGGGCUUGGCUAGUAGGUGGGGUAAUGGCUCACCUAGGCGACGAUCCCUAGCUGGUCGGAGAGGAUGACCAGCCACACUGGAACUGAGACACGGUCAAGACUCCUACGGGAGGCAGCAGUGGGGAAUGUGGCGCAAUGGGCGCAAGCCUGAUGCAGCCAUGGCGCGUGUGUGAAGAAGGCCUUCGGGUUGUAAAGUACUUUCAGCGGGGAGGCGUUACCCGCAGAAGAAGCACCGGCUAACUCCGUGCCAGCCGCCGCGGUAAUAC
rnacentral:rRNA from 1 species